GGGACCUACGGGGGGCAGCAGUGGGGGAUAUUGCACAAUGGGGGAAACCCUGAUGCAGCGACGCCGCGUGGAGGAAGAAGGUCUUCGGAUUGUAAACUCCUGUCCCAGGGACGAAGAUGACGGUACCUGGGGAGGAAGCUCCGGCUAACUACGUGCCAGCAGCCGCGGUAAUACGUAGGGAGCAAGCGUUGUCCGGAAUUACUGGGUGUAAAGGGAGCGUAGGCGGGAUGGCAAGUUGGGUGUUAAAUCUACCGGCUCAACUGGUAGUCGCACUCAAAACUGCUAUUCUUGAGUGAAGUAGAGGC
rnacentral:rRNA from 1 species